GCCCAGCUUCAUCUUGCGCAGCCGCCCGGCGGAGCCGGAGCCCGGGCGCGAGGACAGGCGGGAGCGCAGCCGCGGCCGGACCGGACCCGCGGCCCCGCCGGCAGCAGAGCGGGGGAGCCGGCGAGCGAGCGGAGCCCGGCGACGACUUGGAAGUUUCUGGGGGCGCCCACGCCUCUCCAGGGCCGCCGUUUCAAAUUCGGCGAGAGGUGGAAACCGAGGCUCACGAGAAGUCGGCCGAAAAAUAACACGAUCCUGGCCCAAGGCCCUUUGGACCAAACUAUUGACCACCCAGGCUUGCCUCGAAUCCUCUUCCUGUUCACCUCCACCCUCUACCUGGAUAGCUGUCUCUCCAAGGAAGGCUUCCCCCCCACCCACCAGGAAGGCUCUAAAAUGGCAAAAGUCAGCCAGCAGUUUGGACAAAUGUUCUGCAAACAAGAGGAAGUUCCAUUUAGAUGGCAAGAUUUUCAGCUGCUGCAACCCCCUCCCCACCAGCAGGGCCAUGGAAGCCAAGAAGAAUGGAGAACAGUUCAGCGGCAUCACACUAAACUCCCGUCAGAGAAGCCAGUGAGUAGAAUCCAACUCCAAGUCCCAGCUGUGUGACCUUGGACAAGUUACCUAACCUCUCGGAGCGUCCUCACUGUAAAAUCAGAGUAAUGAUAACGGCACGUAUGUUUGUUUGGGUUUGCUAAAAGAAUUUAAUGAAUGAUUCACACAAAGUGCCUGAAUGCUGCAGGUAACACUUUAUAAUGGUCGAUAACUGUUAAUUAUAAUUUGCUUGGCUUGGGAUCCCUGGGUGGCGCAGCGGCUUGGCGCCUGCCUUUGGCCCAGGGCGUGAUCCUGGAGACCCGGGAUCGAAUCCCACGUCGGGCUCCCGGUGCAUGGAGCCUGCUUCUCCCUCUGCCUGUGUCUCUGCCUCUCUCUCUCUCUCUCUGUGUGACUAUCAUAAAUAAAUUUUUUAAAAAAUUAAAAAAAAAAUAAUUU
rnacentral:lncRNA from 12 species